rnacentral:lncRNA from 1 species
UUUUUUUCCUAUUUCCACCAUGCUUUCUUCAUGGCAUCUUCUUGCCUUCCAUCAUAUAAUUGCCUUUACUUUGAAAUGACUCUUCCUGACGGGCCUCCUUUUCUCCGGCCUUCCUAGCCUGGAAUCUGUUUAUUUUUCUGUGGCACUCGGUCCUUUCUAUGCCAUGUGCCACACACCAGAACGCAGAUGCUAGUGGCUUCCUUAAAGAGAAGUUGCAAAGUGCCUUCCUUGACCAAGAGACUCGUAGGAGACAACAAUUGAGUACAUGGGUCCAAGGCAUGUCUCAUUCUGAGAAACUUCCGGCCUUGUACUUGGGGUAGGUUUCCUACGGUGCCAUCCUUGGAACAUAGCUACUUCUCUUUGCCUUUUUUUUUUUUUUUUUUUCACCUUUUCCAUAAAGAAGAUGUCACUUUUUGGACGCAUUUUGGGCAGGUUGAAUCUGAUGGAUUCCCAACCUAGGCCAAAUACCUUAACCAGUACUCAACCCAU